rnacentral:rRNA from 1 species
AUUGAACGCUGGCGGCAUGCCUUACACAUGCAAGUCGAACGGUAACAGGUCUUCGGAUGCUGACGAGUGGCGAACGGGUGAGUAAUACAUCGGAACGUGCCCGAUCGUGGGGGAUAACGCAGCGAAAGCUGUGCUAAUACCGCAUACGAUCUACGGAUGAAAGCGGGGGAUCGCAAGACCUCGCGCGGACGGAGCGGCCGAUGGCAGAUUAGGUAGUUGGUGGGAUAAAAGCUUACCAAGCCGACGAUCUGUAGCUGGUCUGAGAGGACGACCAGCCACACUGGGACUGAGACACGGCCCAGACUCCUACGGGAGGCAGCAGUGGGGAAUUUUGGACAAUGGGGGAAACCCUGAUCCAGCCAUGCCGCGUGCAGGAUGAAGGCCUUCGGUUGUAAACGUGCUUUGUACGGUAACGAAAAGGUACCGUUUACUUAAUUAAAGUAAGGGACGUCAUGACGGUACCGGUAAGAAUAAGACACCGGCUAACUACUGCCAGCAGCCGCGGUAAACGUAAC